CCUACGGGUGGCAGCAGUGGGGAAUAUUGGGCAAUGGGCGAAAGCCUGCCCCAGCAACGCCGCGUGAAGGAAGAAGGCUUUCGGGUUGUAAACUUCUUUUGACAGGGAAGAGCAGAAGACGGUACCUGUCGAAUAAGCCAUGGCUAACCACGUGCCAGCAGCCGGGGUAAUACGUAGGUGGCAAGCGUGGUCCGGAUUUAAGGGGUGUAAAGGGCGGGUAUCCGGGCUGACAUGUCAGAUGUGAAAGCCUGGGGCUCAACCCCCGAACUGCAUUUGAAACUGGUGGUCUUGAGUAUCGGAGAGGCAGGCGGAAGUCCAAGUGUAGCGGUGAAAUGCGUAGAUAUUAGGAGGAACACCAGUGGCGAAGGCGGCCUGCUGGACGAAAACUGACGGUGAGGCGCGAAAGCGUGGGGAGCAAACAGGAUUAGAUACCCCUGUAGUC
rnacentral:rRNA from 1 species